rnacentral:rRNA from 1 species
GAUGAACGCUGGCGGCGUGCCUAAUACAUGCAAGUCGAGCGAACAGACGGGGAGCUUGCUCCUCUGACGUUAGCGGCGGACGGGUGAGUAACACGUGGAUAACCUACCUAUAAGACUGGGAUAACUUCGGCAAACCGGAGCUAAUACCGGAUAAUAUAUUGAACCGCAUGGUUCAAUAGUGAAAGACGGUUUUGCUGUCACUUAUAGAUGGAUCCGCGCCGCAUUAGCUAGUUGGUAAGGUAACGGCUUACCAAGGCGACGAUGCGUAGCCGACCUGAGAGGGUGAUCGGCCACACUGGAACUGAGACACGGUCCAGACUCCUACGGGAGGCAGCAGUAGGGAAUCUUCCGCAAUGGGCGAAAGCCUGACGGAGCAACGCCGCGUGAGUGAUGAAGGUCUUCGGAUCGUAAAACUCUGUUAUUAGGGAAGAACAAAUGUGUAAGUAACUAUGCACGUCUUGACGGUACCUAAUCAGAAAGCCACGGCUAACUACGUG